GUUUGAUCCUGGCUCAGAACGUACGCUGGCGGCACGCCUAAUACAUGCAAGUCGAACGAAGUAGCAAUACUUAGUGGCAGACGGGUGAGUAACAUGUAGGUAUCUGCCCUUUGGCCUGGAAUAACACGAGGAAACUUGUGCUAAUACCGGAUAAGUCUUUACGGAGAAAGCUUUAUGCACCAUUGGAUGAGCCUGCACUUGAUUAGUUUGUUGGUGGGGUAAUGGCCUACCAAGACUGUGAUCAAUAGCUGAUUUGAGAGGAUGAUCAGCCACAUUGGGACUGAGACACGGCCCAAACUCCUACGGGAGGCAGCAGUAGGGAAUCUUGCACAAUGGAGGAAACUCUGAUGCAGCGAUGCCGCGUGAGUGAAGAAGGCCUUUGGGUUGUAAAGCUCUUUCGUCGGGGAAGAAAAUGACUGUACCCGAAUAAGAAGGUCCGGCUAACUUCGUGCCAGCAGCCGCGGUAAUACGAAGGGACCUAGCGUAGUUCGGAAUUACUGGGCUUAAAGAAUUCGUAGGUGGUUGAAAAAGUUGGUGGUGAAAUCCCAGAGCUUAACUCUGGAACUGCCAUCAAAACUUUUCAGCUAGAGUAUGAUAGAGGAAAGCAGAAUUUCUAGUGUAGAGGUGAAAUUCGUAGAUAUUAGAAAGAAUACCAAUUGCGAAGGCAGCUUUCUGGAUCAUUACUGACACUGAGGAACGAAAGCAUGGGUAGCGAAGAGGAUUAGAUACCCUCGUAGUCCAUGCCGUAAACGAUGUGUGUUAGACGUUGGAAAUUUAUUUUCAGUGUCGCAGCGAAAGCGAUAAACACACCGCCUGGGGAGUACGACCGCAAGGUUAAAACUCAAAUGAAUUGACGGGGACCCGCACAAGUAGUGGAGCAUGUGGUUUAAUUCGAAGAUACGCGCAGAACCUUACCAACACUUGACAUGUUCGUCGCGACUCUAAGAGAUUAGAGUUUUCGGUUCGGCCGGACGAAACACAGGUGCUGCAUGGCUGUCGUCAGCUCGUGUCGUGAGAUGUUGGGUUAAGUCCCGCAACGAGCGCAACCCUCACUUUUAGUUGCCAUCAUUAAGUUGGGCACUCUGAAAGAACUGCCAGUGAUAAGCUGGAGGAAGGUGGGGAUGACGUCAAGUCCUCAUGGCCCUUACGUGUUGGGCUACACACGUGCUACAAUGGUAUCUACAGCAGGAAGCAAGACGGCGACGUUAAGCAAAUCCUCAAAAGAUACCUCAGUUCGGAUUGCACUCUGCAACUCGAGUGCAUGAAGCUGGAAUUACUAGUAAUCGUGGAUCAGCGUGCCACGGUGAAUGCGUUCCCGGGUCUUGUACACACCGCCCGUCACACCAUGGGAGUUGGUUCUACCUUAAGGCAAGGCAUAAAACCCUUGACCACGGUAUAGUCAGCGACUGGGGUGAAGUCGUAACAAGGUAACC
rnacentral:rRNA from 1 species